UGGCUGAGUGGUCAAGGUUGAUGGCUUUCAGCCAUUACUUCGCAAGUUCGAAUCCUGC
rnacentral:tRNA from 1 species